GGGGGCGUACCGGUUUCGACGGGAGUGACCGAGGAGACGGUGGCGUGCCGCGGGGCCCACACCGCCGCGUCAAAAACGGAGUGGGAAAAACCAGCUGCCAACGACAGCGACUACGGCCGUAUGGCCCUGGCCGCCUAAGCGCGGUCACGGAUCUACGCAAGGAGCCCGAGUAGCGUAGGUCCGUCAGCACACGGGCUGGCCGCACGGGGUGCACCGACCGUGCGGUGAGACGACCGGUGCUCGGGGUGGAGAUCGCCUGUCCGUGGGCGUGCCCCACCCGACAUCCAAAUCCACGAGACUACGCACGUAGAAGCCGCCUUCGAGGGCUUCCGGACCCGGGUUCGACUCCCGGCGCCUCCACCA
rnacentral:tmRNA from 1 species